rnacentral:rRNA from 1 species
AAGUCGAACGAAGCAUUUACCGUGAAACCUUCGGGCAGAUCGGUUUAUGACUGAGUGGCGACGGGUGAGUAACGCGUGGGUAACCUGCCUCAUACAGAGGAAUAGCAGCUGGAAACGGCUGAUAAUACCGCAUAAGCGCACAGUACCGCAUGGUACAGUGUGAAAAGCUCCGGCAGUAUGAGAUGGACCCGCGUCUGAUUAGCUUGUUGGCGAGGUAACGGCCCACCAAGGCGACGAUCAGUAGCCGGCCUGAGAGGGUGAACGGCCACAUUGGGACUGAGACACGGCCCAAACUCCUACGGGAGGCAGCAGUGGGGAAUAUUGCACAAUGGAGGAAACUCUGAUGCAGCGACGCCGCGUGAGUGAUGAAGUAUUUCGGUAUGUAAAGCUCUUUCAGCAGGGAAGAUAGUGACGGUACCUGCAUAAGAAGCCCCGGCUAACUACGUGCC